rnacentral:rRNA from 1 species
UACGGAGGGUACUAGCGUUGUCCGGAUUUAUUGGGCGUAAAGGGCUUGUAGGUGGUUUGUCGCGUCUGUCGUGAAGUCCUGUGGCUUAACCAUGGGCUUGCGGUGGGUACGGGCAGGCUUGAGUGCGGUAGGGGAGACUGGAAUUCCUGGUGUAGCGGUGGAAUGCGCAGAUAUCAGGAGGAACACCGGUGGCGAAGGCGGGUCUCUGGGCAGUAACUGACGCUGAGGCGCGAAAGCGUGGGUAGCAAACAGG